rnacentral:rRNA from 1 species
AACGAACGCUGGCGGCAUGCCUAACACAUGCAAGUCGAACGAGACCUUCGGGUCUAGUGGCGCACGGGUUCGUAACGCGUGGGAACCUGCCCUUAGGUUCGGAAUAACUCCCCGAAAGGGGUGCUAAUACCGGAUAAUGUCUUCGGACCAAAGAUUUAUCGCCUUUGGAUGGGCCCGCGUUGGAUUAGCUAGUUGGUAGGGUAAAAGCCUACCAAGGCGACGAUCCAUAGCUGGUCUGAGAGGAUGAUCAGCCACACUGGGACUGAGACACGGCCCAGAAUCCUACGGGAGGCAGCAGUGGGGAAUAUUGGACAAUGGGCGAAAGCCUGAUCCAGCAAUGCCGCGUGAGUGAUGAAGGCAUUAGGGUUGUAAAGCUCUUUUACCCGGGAUGAUAAUGACAGUACCGGGAGAAUAAGCCCCGGCUAACUCCGUG